rnacentral:lncRNA from 1 species
CUCUUUUUCUUCUCUCUCUCUUUCUUAAAAAAAAAAAAGAAAAUCAGAAGGGGAUUGCUCUGAUCUGGACCCCUUGAUUGUAUAUUAAAAUAAUCAGAACAAUCCGAUAAAUUAGAUCUGUGCUAGGAAUACGAUUUCUACAGUAAAGAGGAUGAGCUGUCUCAUAAAUUAGAUCGCCUACCGGCUAUCAGACACACUCUCUCUACAUCUUUUCUUCCUGCACAAGUUGAAUGCCCAGUCGUGCACUAAUUUUUUGAGUUUAAGUAUGAGCAAGUUCAUCAAGAUCAAACCCAAAUAGCCUACGAACCAAAAAAUAACCCAUACUUUAACGACUACAAUCCAAGUUGGAAGGUUCAACCAAAUUUUUCGUAACCAGUGGUUACCUCGACAACACAACGAUCUACGUUUGUAGAAGCACCCUAUUACGACAUGCCCUAUUCGCAAUAUCAACCUUCUCCAAC